UGACGUGCGUCCCAUGCCCUUCCCACGCCGCGUCAGUCAAACACCGGCCCUCUUUCUCCCAAUCCCCGCAACCGCCGCGCCCGGCACACCUCCCUCCUCCACUCCUCCCCGCAUCUCACCCUUCCCCGCUGAGCUUGUUCCUCUAGCCACCCACUCGUCUCCUCCUCCUCCUCCUAUCUCUCUCUUCUAGCUUCCUCCUCCUUCCUGAUCUCUGCGUCGGUCGGACCGCGAGAGGAGCGGCGGUGGUGGAGACGCUCCGGUGGCGGCAUCGAGUUGCGAACCCCAAGAACCAGGUCUGGGGGUUCGGUUCCAAGGCGCGGACGGCUUCUCCAUCUAUGACGCCGAGGGAAAGUGCACACCCCACUCCCCUCCUCCUGUGCGAACCCUACGAGAGAGAGAGGAAGAUGAGAGGGAGGGAGAGAGAAUGACCGGCGUCGGCCUGCGCCGGCGAGGACGGGCGCGACCUGGAGGUUGGCCGCUGCUCGAUCUGCUCUUGGAUGGGGAACUUCAACGAAGCUGGGGUUCGGGCACGUUGCACCGGAGGCCGCACUCCACCUCUUCCUCGUGGUGCGGCGGACGGCAGCUCUUGCAGUCGUGCGGCCGACGGCGGCCUCAGCGGGUGGUCGACGACACUUGCAUCUGGUGCUCUACCCAUGGAUUCCGGCCCAGCCCGAAAUACUCAGGCCUCGGCCAAUGGUGGAGAAGACAGACUACAGGGACAAGCCGCUGGAGCACGUGUUCAUGGGAUGUUCGCGCGCAAGAUGCAGAAGUUCGCCUGAAGGAAGAAGAGUUGGCCGGCGAGGAUGAAGAGAAGGCGGGAUGCGAGGUGCUUGCACACGCAGCAGCAGGAGGCCGUCCGUAAGGUGCUCCUCUGGAUGCUCCCUUCCGGCAUUGGGCCUAGGUGUUCAACACCGCCCUCACCAUCCCCUUCUUCCAUUGGCUCAUCGGCCCAUCAGAGGUCAGAGAUCUAAUACUCUUAGUUAUGUGUGUGUGUGUGUCCGGGCACCUGUUAUGUUUUUUGCUGGCUUGUUGGUGCGUGCAUGAUUGUUGUGACUGUGCGCUGGCUGUUCGGUGCUGGGCUGCUGAUGGCAUGCUACCUGCUUUGAAAAAAAGGAAUGAAAGGAAGCAUUUGUUCAUAGAACAAAUAUAUUCAUUUUAUGUUAAGAUAAAUAUCCCUAUCCUCUGUUUGUUUCUUGAUUAUUCUCUGUGAACUUUUGUUCUACAUGCAGACAAGUUUCCUCCAUGUUAUGUCAACAUCCCAUGGUGAUGUAUGUGAAAGAUUGAAAGUGCGGUACUACAUAAAGACGUGCUGCAAUUAUUGUUGCAUAAUCACAACUUUCAUAACAUUAACUUCCAUUGUCUGUUAAUAAUUAAUUAUUUCGGGUAAAAUAUAUUUUUCUACCUGAUUGAUGUGGUUAGUUUGAUUUAUAGUAGAAUAUCAACAUUCUCCUUUAUGAUGGCUGAUGGGCAGUGUGUUUCGUCCAAGUGAUAUGUUUCCUGUAUUGUUAGAGAUGUCUAUUUGGCUUAUGAUCGUACUGUUGAGCACAUCUUACCCUUGUGCUGAAGAUAAAUGGUACUAAUCAAUCUGCCAAAGCUUUGUGAUGUGAAAGUUCAUUUGGUAGGAAGGGUUCUGCAGAUAACCCCUUCAGAUUCUGUCCCUUCAAGAUUUUUUUUGUAUCAAGCCAUAAAUUUAAACUGGAAUCCUUCAGUGGCUAUUUUGUUUAUCCACACACUUUCUAAUGUCUGGUCCUCUUAACUUAGGAUAAGCUUUUUACAGUCUUUGUUUUUUGAUUAUCAUCAACAAUACUGGUUCUGUUGUCCCUUAGGCUGUCAAUGCUGAGAAGCGAACUUGGAAAUCAGCUCGCUAACAAGAGUCGGAAUUUGAAUCUGAGGCAAGUUUUACAUUCCCCAAUUUGUCUAUUGAACCCAUGGUCUCUCUUUCUUCUGCAUUAUUUCUCAUUCAUUAUCUAAGAUAUAAUUUCGACUUCACUGCAUCGUGUUGUUUGGUUUAUAAUGCCGGUUGAGCUCAUUUCUAAUUGUUCACAACUACUUAAUUUUUUGUUGUGAUUUUGCAAGAUAUUUAAAUUAUUGUAUUUAGAAAUUGUUAUACUGAUUCUCGAUGCUCUGUUCAUGGCUUUUUUCUUAUUUUAUUCUUCUUUGCUUUUUUCCUUUCCUGCAAGACGAUGUCGAGUCAUGUAAUAUGUUCAAAGAAGAGAGAAUCUGCAUUUUAUGAAUCCUUUCUUCUUUCUUCAUUGUUACUUCAAGUUAGUGAAUUCAUUUAAGUUGUAUUGAGCAGCUUCAUGUGCAUGGUUUCUUCAUCUACACAUCUUAUUCAGUCACGAGGCCAGUAAGAUCUUUUGCCUUCUAGAAAAAGGGAGAUGCAAUUUAGACCUUACUCUUCCAACUUGAUCUUUAACUUGCUACUACUGUUUCUAAGCAUUUUCCCAAGCAUUUUUUAUUUGCUUCAGAGAAUGAACUCACCUUAUUCAGUGGAUGUGCCAAGUAAAAAAAAAUAGAAACUGAACAAUUAGUUCCACUCUUAAAUUUUGUACAACGGUCCAAAUUAUCCAAUAAAUCAUUUGUUAGCAGGGUCUAAUUAUAGAAGUUGAAUCAGUUGUUCCAAAUUACAAUGUGUGACUUAUUCCAUUUGUUUAUCCUUUUGUCCUUUUAAUCAAGAACAAUGUUUAGAGCUUACAUGGUUGUCCAAAUUUAGUUCUGUAAAAGAGGAAUAUUAAUAUCAUGCAACGAUGAGUGCAGAUUAGGAUAGUUAUAGAGUUCUUCCUCAGUUUUCAUUGAGCAAAGAUUGAAUCUGUAUGGUUUUUUCUAAUACCAAGUAAAUCUUGGUCUGCAUUCUGUUAGUUUUCCUACUGAGUUUUUUUUGGCUAUUUUCGUUUAAAUUGGUAGCUGAUGUGAAAAAGUGUGUGUUGACAUGCAUGCAACCAAAUCAUGUAUUAAUGUGAGGUACUACAUAUACUUGCCUAUCUCUUUCCAGAAGCACAACCCUCUUGAUCCAACUAGGAACAUCAAAACCAAAUGGGAAAUCAUUGAGUGGACUUCAGAUGGCCAUGCUUACGACAAGGAGGCGGGGUUGGGGGAGGGGGUCGGUCGUGGAGGGAGGCUCGCCUGCCGGAGCAGCAGGAACAAGGAGGCGGGGUCGGCCGUGGAAUAUUUAGCUGGAUGUGCGAUCUCUUCUGCCGCUACGUCUCCGUUCGACUCGCCAAGGUUUGUUGUUCUCCUUUUUACAUGUGUGUGUGUUUUACUUUCACUAUCUUCUAUAUCAUGCUAUCUGCCUUCAUGAUCGUUUAAGUAUUAUUAUGGUGUCUGCCAUGCUGAUCGUUUAAAUAUUUCGGAUACGGCAGGGCAUUGUGUGUUGUUCGUUCUCUUGCUACUUAUAGUUCGUGUAUGCGUGUGAGCAGGAUCUAUGCACUUGUUUCCGUUGUUAUACUUGUUUUGGAGACUAAGGUAGCUCGGUGUGCUUUGUCGUCGCUUUCGUGUCUGUGUGAGGUUGUAGACGACGGUUCUGUUCUUGCUGGUGUAGAACUCGAGCUCCCAGGGGACGGUUCUACUCCAGUGCCACAAAGAGAUGUUUUCCGAGCUUGGCUUGGUGUGGUUUUAUGAAUGGCUAUGAGCAGGAUGCUCUACAGGUCUUGCGUAUUUUGCAAGGUUUAUAUGGACUUUUCGUUCAUGACAAUAACUAUGAAUGUAUGAUGGCCUAUAGGAGAUCUUUCUGUUCAAGAACAUUGCGGUUUCUUUGAUUCCUACUAUGCUAUUUACUAAGUCUGCAGGCCAGCAUAUUAUUUAGAUUCUUUCUAACUACCUUACUUCGAAGCUCAGUACUGGUCUCCUUCAAGCUACAACCCCAAGGUAUGUCUUCUGAAAUAGACAACUAUAAUAUGCUUAUAACUACUUAAUUACACUCAUGUUUGUGUUUCCUUUUGUACCAAAUCGCCGUGCCCUGCCGGCUAUGCUAUAUGCCCACAUAUUUACACAUGUCUCCCUCUUCACUGGUUUUCUUUGACGCACCAGGCGAGCUCUGGUGGUCAAGCUGAUGCUUCUUCGCCUCCUGUUGAAGAAAAGGAUGAUAAGGAUGUCCAGGCUCGAGUGACCAGGAACAAGUGGUGCUGCUUUUUAUGCUGUCCAUCUAUAUAUGCAUCCCUUCAGUUUGUACAGACAAAACAAAUAUUCAUUUCUGACUAGAACAGAACUUGCAGUUAAGAAACUCUACUGCUGGAAUGGGAGCUGGGGUACUAAACAUAAUAUAGUUUGAGCCUGCCAGUUCUUUUUAAUCCUAUGGCCUGUAUUUUUGUAGCAAUCGUCUUUUAUGUCUGGUUCCCAAAGUUAUUAGUUAGCCUGCCUAUUUCUCGCCGUUUGAUAACCUAUAUUAUAACUAUAGAGAAUAUAGUUUGAGCCUGCCAGUUCUUCUGCCUUGGAUAUGAAAUAAUGAGGCAGUUUUAAUAUUGUCGUAGAUUCACCUGAGUUUAUUUUAAACUACAGGAUGCAUCACUGAUGGAGAAAUACCUUACAGAAUGAUGCUGAGCCCCGUCUGGAAUGGAACCUUUUUGGAGCUGCUUAUGCUUGGUGCGGAGCGGGAAGCCUAUGAUAGCAACAGUAUUGUACUCCAUAGAACUGGAACUCUAUACCUUUCUUAUGCAGCUCUUCCUUUUGUUGUCUUCCCUAGAAGGGGCUGAUGUAGUUUUUCUGAAUUACAUGUCUCCGCUUUGUUCUACGGCAGAUGCUUCUACUUUGGAAUGGUAGCAACAAUACUGGACUCCACUGAGAACUGGAACUCUAUACCUUUCUUUUGUAGCUCUUGCUUUCGUAGUCAUUGCUGGAAGGUGCAGAUGUAGUUUUCCAUUUGUUCUACGACAGAUGCUUCUACACUGGAAUGGAACCUUUUUGGAGAUCAACAUGUUUCUGACUUGUUGUACAAUAUCUCGAUGGUAGUACUUGAUUUAUUGUUUUAGCAAGCGUAA